rnacentral:lncRNA from 1 species
CCCGCCUCGGGGGAGAACCCCAGCCCCGCCCAAUGGUCCACUUUCCUCUCUGCCCUCCCCACGGUGCCAUCCCUUUGAGGUACGUCUUCAGCUUCUGGGACAGACCCAGCUGAUACCAGGGGGAAUAACUAUAGCUGCUUGGCUCUUACUCCACCUGCCGGCUCCCCAUCUUCGCUCUGGUCCCACCUCCUUGCUCUUCCGGUCUGUUCGCAAGCCCCGCGCCAGCUCAGUGCCCUCCUCCAGCAGCAGAAGGGCCUUCCAGGAUUAUGCCCUUAAUCUUUGUCCUGAACUGCUGAUCUUCAGAGGGACCCAGGAGAAGAUGAGUCCACCGUUUCUACUGGGGAAAAAAAAACAAAACAACAACAACAAAAAAACACAUCAAACUGUGGGACACUGGAUGGGUAAGUUGCAUAUUGUCAGUUGGUACUCUGCUCCUCACAGGUUUCCUGUUAUCUCAUGUUUCUGGAACCGAAGACCUGUCCUCCACACAACUCAGACACUCUUGCUGGCUGGGUUCUACCAGUGAAAAGCACUCAGGUGAGAUUAGAAGAUGGGAGGAAAGCAGAAGUCAUUAGGCAGCAAUGAGGGUGGAAAUGUGGCCUUGUGGUUUUCUGCCCAAGGCCAUGGCUUUCAAUGGCAUAUAUGAUGUCAUGAGAUCUGAGCAACACAACUUUUUCCUUCUACCCAGUCCUAGCAUUUUCUUGCAGUUACAUAUCUUUGAAUGACCCUUUACCUUUUCUUAGUGGCACUCCCAGCCUUUCCAAUAUUUUUUUUUUCCUUUUCUUAGUGGCACUCCCAGCCUUUCCAAUAUAUAUAUUUUUUCCUUUCCAAUGUUUUUGUCAUCAGUUCUCUGUAUUAAAUCUCCACUGUCCCUCCCGUUUGAAAUGGAGCAGUUUCUAUUUCCUGGUCUAGACACCAACUUGAAAAUUGGUAGAGUGGAAUUUGUAAGAGCCAAUAUGGUCAUCUUCAUAGACAAUUUGAUCUGUUGACUGAUUUUAUUUAUUAUAUCAUGCAAAUCAUUAGAGCUUAAAGAUAAUUUAUAUAAGGUAGACUAAAUGCUAAGUAGGCAUACAUAAAGCGUCUGUCUAGCCCUAAUGGAUUAUAUCCUCAGAACAAAAAGUAGUAAUAGAAAACAAACAACAUAAGGAAAAAACCACCUUAAACAAUUUUCAGUAGUAAUAUCCUAGGUAGAAGUGGUGGUGAUGUUUGAGAUUCUUCUAGAGCAUUGUGUGAUAAAGUGAAUGAAUAAUUAUGCUGGUGUCACUGUGUGUCAUGUUUUUCCAAGUGAUAAAAAGGGGACACAGAUGUAAGAUCCAUCAGGUUAAGUAAAAAACUAUGUCAUCCUGAAUUGCAAUUGGGAUGAACAGUUUAGACCCAUGAGAUAUUUUAUCUUUAAAUAUGUAUUUCCCCCAAACCCUAGAAACAAUGACUGAUCCAUUAAAGAUGAGCACCUUUAGUGCAUAGAUUGUCAUCUUUAAAUAUAAUUUCCCAUUUUAAGGAACCAAGGCUUCUUGGAGAAAUGGCUGAUUCUAGACUCAGGGCAGGAAAUAUCCAAGAUGAUUCUGGAACAUUUUGCCAUGCUACAAAGCAAGAAAGCCACCAAAGACCAAUCAUGUUGUGUCAAAAAACCAGGAGACAACUUAAAGAAGUUUCCGGUGGCUAAAUAUGGGUCAAAAUGAACAUCAGCAAGAGUAAUAACUGUAAUGGACUGAAACACAUAAAAUACACUUAAAUACAUGAGAUUAUAGUCAUUAAAGACAGGAAACAUCAUUGGCCACCUUUGGAAGGAGCCAACUCAUAUAGUGGAUGAUUAAUUCCUUUCUUCUGCCUUUCUUUUAUGAGCUGUAUCUCCAGUAAUCCAAUAAUUGAUUGGGGGAAAUUCCUUUUUUUGUAAAAGGAUUCCAGCUAAUAAAAGAAGGAAGAUAGAGUUAGAAAAUCA